CGGCUGCCUGGGGGCAUGCUACGGCGAGUCCACGCCUGCGUACUCUACAAGUUUGGCCGACGAGGCCCGCGAUAAUCAUAUCCAACAAAUCGAAAGAGCUGAAAUAGCUAACCUGGUCCGCUCACGUAUGGAAUCCUUGAACCUCACCGGGAUCGAUUACGAUGACGUCAGCGAAAAGAGGAACAGCCUCUCUUACGUGAUCAUCAACCCAAGCUGCGACCUGAAUCUGCAAGAAGGAGACAUUAUAUAUCUGGUUCGUCCGUCACCAUUCUCUGCCCAAAAAACUUUCGAGCGCCACAACAGUCGACGCAAAUCCAACAUUAGCUUCUGCUCUCAAGCGCUGAUCC